CACUUUUCCUUGGUGAUCUCUUAAUUAUCUUCCUCUUCUGAUGACUUCAAUACAGUAUAUCAAGUCAGGUUCUUUGUCCUGAGCUCUAGAUUGGUCUUCAUUCAGUGACUACUGGGCAUUCUUAUAGGAGGUCCUAUAGACUCCUCUCAUUCUUCAUGUCCAAAGACAAAUUCAUGAGUCCUCCUUGUUCCAAAUCUACUCUUUUUGUAUUUACAUUUUAGUUAACAGGACAACAAGGCACUCCUUAAAGUCAGAAACUGGAAGCCCUAUCUUUUCCACUUUCAAUUGGUGUCCAAAUCCAAUUGAUUGUACCCUUGCAUACUUGCCCUUUCUGUCCUCUGUUCGGUUCCCUUGGCAUCUCUUGCUUGACUUACUGCAAUAGCCUAACUGUAUCCCUGCCUUCCUACCUCCUUUGAAUUUGUCCUCCAUGGUUAAGCCAAGAGUUGUCUUUCUAGAACACAAGUUUCAUCCUAUCUCUCCACUACUUUCAAAGCUUCCCCAUAGCCUUGAGAGUAAAGUCCAAAUUCCUUAACAUAAUGUACAAGUCCCACAUGGUCUUAUUCCUGUGCACGUGUGGCCUCACAAUCGUCCUUCUGUCUUCAUCUGUGCAGUCCCCAUCUUCGCUUCGUUGCUAAUACUAGUUGCUUUCAAGACUGAGCUCAAGUGUCCCUUUCUCUAGGAAACUCUUCCUGAUCCUGCCCCAGAGCAGAAUUAGGUUGCCUCUGUGCUGCUUGAUCAAAGCAUACUGUAAUUGUUGGUUGUUUUCCAACCUUUCACCUCAUUUCGUGUUCCCUAAAGCCAAGGAUUAUCUUAUUCUUAUCUCCAACCUGACACCUCACCCAGUGUCUGGGACAGAGAGUAAGUGCUCAGUAAUAACAGACAGUCUAAUAGUGUAAUGGUUAGAAGCAGUGGGCUCUGUAGCCAGACUGCAUGGGUAAUUAUGACACCUGCUAGGCAUGAGAUAUUAAGCAAGUUACCUAAACCUUAGUUUCCUCUGUAAAAUACAGAUUAUGGUACUUAUAGUAUCUAGAUCAUAGAAUAGGUGUACAGGUGAAAUGAGUUAUAAUUCUUAGAAUAGUAGAAUGCAGAAUAGUGCCUGGCAUGUAGCACACACGUGUUGUUGUUAUCCUUAUGAAAAGCUUAGAAUGAAGGCAUGCUAUCUAAGAAUCUUUGGGAUGCGAAGAUUCUGUCAUUCUAAAUUCCAGUUUAGUUGCACUUGGGAACCACCAGAUUAUCAUUGGAAGGAAUAGACUUUGAAUCUUCUUGGGCUGGAGAUUGCCACAUCUCUCCUCACCUGCACCGGGACGGUGAAGAGAUGCUUGUCCUGAGGGGGGCUCCCACAAGAGUCAGGGUACUCCCAAUCAAAGUCCAGCCCAUCAAACUCAUACUGGCGCAGGAAUUUGAUGACUGAGGCAAUGAAGUUCUGGCGGUUCUCAGGAGUGGAAACCAUGGCAGUGAAGCUGCAGGAGACCCAAAGAACAAACACAGGGUGAGGGAAUGCCUUGGCGGUCCCAACACCUUGUAGUAAAAUCAGACUUUUAUAUUUCUGCCUCAGAGCUCUUCACGGAGACCCACAGCCCAGAUUUCAGUGAUGUCUGAUCUUCAGUGUCUUCCACCUCCUGCUCUCUGAUGCUGUUGAAAGCUUGAUAGAAAGUCACAUCAUCCCAUUCAGUGGUGGUGAUCUCGUUGUUCCGCAUCCCAGCAAAGGCAUAGAUCAGGAUUCUCUUGGAAAUUUAAAAUGAUGAAAGAAGAAUGGAAGAGCCUAGGGGCGUAAUGCGAAGGCUAUCAGAUCCAGAGAGAAGAAGAAAUCAGCUAGUGAUCAAGCCUGUGACCUAGAAUCUGGCAAUCAGCGUGAGUCCUGGAUUUCAAAGUAAGCAGCGUAAGAGGUGGCCGUAUGCGAGAGAAUCCACCUUCUAGGAAGUGCCAUGGUGGACGUGACUUGUUCUUCCAGGGCAGCAAUGUUCAAGAAAGCCUUCUAAACAAGGUCUCUGAACAGCAGGCAGACCAAAGAUGAGUGUCUCCUGAACAAGUGAUACAUGGAGGAGAUGGGGAAAAGUCACCACUCACCAGGACAUCUGGGGGAAUCUCAUAGUCAGACUGGAUGUUGGAGAUGCCAACAGCUACCGUGGUGGUGACCAUCAGCCUGGGCUUGUUAAUAUGCUUGGCUUAUUCAUAAGCUUCACAUGUCUCCUGUACAUAGGAGAAAGUCUAUGAACAUCAACUCUUGAGUUGAUUUCCAUGACCACUCUUUGAAUUAAAUUAAUCUUUCCCAUU